rnacentral:rRNA from 1 species
AGUGAACGCUGGCGGCAGGCCUAACACAUGCAAGUCGAACGGCAGCACAGUAAGAGCUUGCUCUUACGGGUGGCGAGGGGCGGACGGGUGAGGAAUACAUCGGAAUCUACUUUUUCGUGGGGGAUAACGUAGGGAAACUUACGCUAAUACCGCAUACGACCUACGGGUGAAAGCAGGGGAUCUUCGGACCUUGCGCGAUUGAAUGAGCCGAUGCCGGAUUAGUUAGUUGGGGGGGUAAAGGCCCACCAAGGCGACGAUCCGUAGCUGGUCUGAGAGGAUGAUCGGCCACAGUGGAACUGAGACACGGUCCAGACUCCCAAGGGAGGCAGCAGGAGGGAAUUUUGGGCAAUGGGCGAAAGCCUGACGCAGCAAAGCCGCGUGGGUGAAGAAGGCCUUCGGGUUGGAAAACUCUUUUAUUAGGGAAGAAAAAAGGGGUGAGUAACGCCGCACGUCUUGACGGUACCCAAAAAGAAAGCCACGGCUAACUUCGUG